GAUUCAGUUACUUUGGUGAUUCGGUGCCAGUAAUCACUUCUAAAUCCAGUUCUAUCAGUCAGGUAUGAGGCUGUUACUUGACGUCCACCGUGGUUGUGUCGUAGUGAUCACACAUCCACACCAGGUGGCGCAACAGAGCAUGUCUCCAGAAAAGGGAGCGGGCGAGGCAGAGAGUGGCGCCGCAGCCUGUCGCCUCUCGCCUCCGGCUGCGCAGCUGCAUCCUUUCUUGCGGCACUCGUGACAUGCCCAGCCGGAGAGCAGCACGCUGAGUGAUGCUGGAACGGCACCGCAGCAUGGUAGUGGGAGGGACGACGGAAGCACACUUAUGUAUUUGGCUUUAGUUUUUACUUUGAAAUGCACCAAAGUAGUUGUUUUCCGCCGGAAUUAAAAAGGAUGGAUAAAGGCCCACGGCAGCAACUGCACAUGUCUGGAGGCGCAGAGAGCGCAGCCGAUGAGGAGCUGCUGAAGCGGAGCAAAGACGAGCUGCUGCGGCGGUUGCGGAGGGCGGAGGCGGAGAAGACGAGCGUCAUCGCGGAGCACGGGAAGGUGAUGCGGGAGGUGAACCGGAGGCUCCAGCUACACCUGAACGAGAUACGGAGCCUGAAGGACAUGAACCAGAAGCUGCAGGAGGACAACCAAGAGCUACGUGGCCUGUGCUGCUUCCUUGAUGAUGACCGACAGAAGGGGAAGCGAGUGAUGAGAGAGUGGCAGCGCCUGGGUCGCUACAGCGCCAGCCUCAUGAGGAAGGAGGUGACUAUUUACCUCCGGAAGCUGAAGGAGUUGGAACAGCGGCAAGCGGAGCUUAUCUGGGAGAACAUGGAACUGAAAGAGGUGUGUCUCAUGCUGGACGAGGAGGAGGCUACAGCAGCUGGUAAGGCAGAGAGAGUGGGCCCUGGCUGUAGGAGGUCCAUGGACAGCCAGAACACCUUGGCCCCAGCCCCUGGUUUGUUGCGGGAUGUCGGUGAUGGGAGUAGCGGCUCUAGUGCAGAGAGCACAGAUAGCACUGAUGCCUCCCUCCAUAAACCCCCUCCAGUGGGUUCCACGGCUAAAGCGGGAGUGACUGGUGUUGCGCAAGCUGACAAAUCAGGAGGUGUGAGUGAGUCCACAGGCAGGAGGCACAGUUCCACCUCAGAGUACCACACCUUCCCCCAGCCCUGUAGGCCCGGCGGGGGGUCCCUUACUAACACAGACCCUUGCUGUUUUUGGGGACACAGUCCAAAGAAACACAGCAAGGCUCCCACCAGGGUACCAUGCAUCUCCCAGCCCAGACCCUGCUGCUCUGACCUACUACCCCACAAACAGCUACCAAUGUCAGAGCAGGUGUCACCAGGCUCAGCUAAGAUCAGCCCAGAGCUGAGUCAGAGACCCCGUCACAUUGAAACUAUGGAGGUAGGCCGCAGUAGUCCCAAGGUGAAACAGGCAGCUGUGGGGACAACCGAGCACAUCAGGAAAGGGCGGGUGAUUGUUGGGAGUCCAGAGUCUGUACGGCGCCACCGUUACUGUCAGCACAGUCCCGGGGUGGAGCAUAAGAGUGGCUCCUCUGGCAUGUCUGCUUGUCAGAGGCGGGCAGCGGAGGAGGACAUCGUCACCCACCACCAGAGUCUGUACAACGCUCUCAUAACCGCUGGCUGCUGCACCAACUCCUGUAGGAAUGCAAAGCUUUGGGACAGGAAACACUGCCCUGAUCCAGACCAGGGAAGGUGGGAUGACAACUUGGACUCUUUACCCUAGAAGUCCCCAGCACCAGCUCACAAGACUUCUAGGCUAGAUACCUGCAACAACUUGAGAUACACACAGACAUAGUUCUGAAAAAAACAAUAACUACAUUUCUAUUAGUUACAUAUUAGCACUUGAUAUAUCGUACACCUUACUAAAAGCAAUUAAAAGUAUAUUAGGUCAAUAUGUAUUUAGAACCAAAACUAUGUUUGUAAACCAGAGUUCCCAGGUAUGUUAUGAUUAAUCUAAAUAGUAAAAUGUUCUAAAAUUGUUUAUGAAUUUCUGAGAUACUGAUUUAUUCCAUGCAUGUGUAAUUGUCUGAUAUACUGUAUAUUAAAUGUGUUCUGUAAUGAAUACACAUUCAAUCAUACUGGCUCCAGUCCUGGAUCAUCAACCAUACAUGACAGUAGAUGUAUGCAAUAUCUUGACUGCAACAGUUGCUGUUGUCUCUGCAGGCAUUCACCGUUCCCACAUUGGCACUUAAUUACAGACAAAUACGGCAAAAUAUAAGGUGCAGCUGAAGACCCCAUUAUGGAAAAAUUAUUUUGACACAGCAGCAGAACGAGAAAGAAAAAAACAUGAGUUUAUAUUAGUUUAUCAAGCUAUGCUCCCAAACAAGCUGUAGUCCUGUUAUGAAUAUUCUGUUAUAUUAAUUCAGGCUGCUUAUCGGCAACCAUUGGUAUUAGCAUUAGCAGCUAAUCAAGUUGCAUAUUAUAUAAAUCAAUAAAUUAAAUUAAAUGUGAAAUUGCCAGUUAGACGUACCUUGCGUAUGGGGUGCCAAAUGUAAAAAGAGCACCUAUAACUAGUUUUCUCAGAUUUAGUUAAAUGACACCACAUGUUUUCUCACAUUUAGUUAAAUGUUCAAAAGUCUAAAUGUUAAAUGUAAAUGUUAAAUGUAAAUCUAAAUAAUAUAUCUAAAUGUAAAUGUUAAAUGUAAAUUUUAAAUGUAAAUGUUAAAUGUAAAUGUUAAAUGUUUGCCGAGUGUAAAACUGAAUAUUCAUGAUAUAUGCAAACACUCUCCACCCCUACCCUCAAACGUCACUCGUGGUGCUCAUCUCAGAUCAGUGACACGGACUCACACACCUCAAGCUGUGCGCACAGCCCCGCCCACAUCUGACUCUGGAUCGGCGGACAAUACUGGAAAGAAAGCUGAAGUCUAAUGAAGCCAUCAUGGCCGUCAGCUCCGGCUCCCUCCCGUUAUCGGAAAUUGAACGGGCUGUAACGGCAGGUGUGCGGGCUGCACUUCAAGCUGCUGUUCCGCAGGCGUUGAAUACACCAUUAACGGUGAGUUAAGUAGGUUUGAAUGGAAUAUUUCUAUUGGACCUGUCGGGAAUUACAGUUAGCUAACUUUACUAGCUAGCCGUCUUACGUAAGGUAGUUGCAAGCUACAGUAUAAACGAAGGUUUUGUGACCGAUACUCUUUCUCUAAGCUGUUCAACUUUAUUAAACAACUCCUUAUUCUAUUCUGCUAAUUUUUGCUUUUAACUUUUUUUAAAUGGGAACAUUGUAUGUAUGACUAUCUAUGACUAUGUAUUAUGAAAGUCAAUCAAAACUGUCAAUAUUAAAAUACAAGCUCUUAUUUCAGGUCUCCACACUACCAGGUGACACACAUAGGCACUGCCAGCCUAGCUACUGCUGUCACAUCACUGAGAUCAGUGCCUCUGCCAUCCAUCCCUGGACGUCACGUGCAUCGAUCCAGACACAUAAACAGAAAGCAUGUCAAAACAUACACAAAGGAAGUUGUGUGUUUGCCUUUUUCACUGGAGUCAUCACUCUUUGGUAUUCACAGAGGAGAUCCUCGGAGUAGGUCAGCUGACCUUGCCUUAUUGGAAAAAUGUCAUUUUCUACUGAAUGGACUGAAGACCAAUUAAGCUGAGAAAUAACAGCUAUUUUCAGACGAGUAUUUGGGUUAUCAGAACACCAGUUAUUACCGUUUCAGUUUUUGAGCACCAUCAAGGGGUGCAAAAAACUAAUGAAAACACAGGUCACCUCCAAUUUCCCCUGGGGUGGUAAAGAAGUUGCGUCCAUGUGUUCCAACUUUUGUAUGUACAUCAUGGCAGUAAUGGAAGCUCCAUCACAGAAUUUGCUUGUGGAACUCUCUGAUGACAGUGAUUUUGAAAGCCAAGCUCCACAACUAAGGAGAUCAAGACGGACAAAUGUAUCAUCCAUAUCCCAGAGGGAACAAUAUAAAAGGCAGGAGGGUGAAGUAACCAGGCCUCAAGCUGACAUUGAGAUGAAAUUACAUGAACAGCAAGGACCGAAUCAAGCUACUACUCACUUCACAGAUUUUAUUCCUGUCUAUGUUGAUGAUGAAGAAGCCAUUGAGGAGGCCAUCAGACGCAGUCUUUCAGAAGAGGCAGGAUCUUCAUCCUUACAGGAUUCAAGAUUUGCAAGAACACUGUCCAAAGAAGAAAUAACUGGAAUUGUAAAAGCACACAGUGAGAGGGUUGUUACGACAUCUCACAAGCCAAUCUACAUCAGUCAAGGGAACCUGUGGACAACUACCCUCAGACAGUUUAGCAGACAGAGAUUUGCUGAGAGCACUCACAUGCUAUAUGUGACCUGCUAUAUGUGACAUUUGCCAGUGAUGAAGACAUCACUGAAGAUGCUGAAGACCUUAUAGGGCCUAGGCGGGAAUUCUUUCGUCUACUUGUAAAAGCCAUCUACAAGGAGAGUGGAGCUUUUGAAGAGUCUUAAAAUGACUUUAUUCCAAGACCCAACAUUACUCGUGCAAAAUGGAUUGUAUCACACUAUUGGACAGAUGAUGACCACAAUCAUAGUCCAGGGUGGUGAGCCUCCAGCUCUGCUUUCCCCUCUUGUGGUGGGCUACCUCUUGACAGGGCACUUUCAGUUCAAUGUGACUCCAGAUGAUGUAGCUGACAUGGAGCUGAGAGAAGCCCUCAAGAAGGUUGAUCAAGCUGCAUCAAAGGAUGAGUUGGAUCAAGCCAUCGGAUACUGUGAAUCAUGGCAGAACUAUAUCGAAGGUCUUCCAAAUCCAGUCACUAUGGACAACAAGGAUGCAUUUGUGAAGAGUGCAAUGCUUUUCCAUGUUCUUAUACAGUGUCAGGAACACAUGGAGGAGGACCCAAAUGCACAGCGCACUCGAGAGCUUGAUGAAAUAAACUGUGUUUAUUGUAUCGGUGUAGUUAAGCAGCCCAGGUCAUACACGGUGUGUCUCAGUUCUUCAGGUACAAAGAGAGCAGGCCAGGUCAGGUCCGGGAAACAUGCAGGAGUUCGGUACACAGAUAAACUCGGCAGAGGUACAGGCAAGGGCUAGACAAAACUCAAUGGUCAGACAGUCGUACGGUUUACCACAAAAUCCAGAGCGAAGGUACAGACGAGGUUCAGGCAGGAAUCGGGGUCAAAGACAGGCGCGAUCAGAAAACAAGACAACUCGACCCGAACGCUGGAAUGCGGUACUAGGACUCGACAAUCUGGCGAUGUACUGGGGUGAGAGGUGAUGCUUAUAUACACGGUGAACUGAUUACUAAUGAAGUGCAGGUGUGGAUAAUGACCGGUGGAAACCAUUCCAUUAUAAAUAUUAUAUAUUCCACACUUGCCGUUACAGCCUAUUCAAUUUCCGAUAACCGGAGGGAGCCGGAGCUGACGGCCAUGAUGGCUUCAUUAGACUUCAGCUUUCCCUUCAGUAUUGUCGCCGAUCCAGAGUCAGAUGUUUAACUAAAUGUGAGAAAACUAGUUAUAGGUGCUCCUUUUACAUUUGGCACCCCAUACUUGCGCCAGUCAAAGUGUAACCACUUUAACCUUCCAUUCAACUUCAGAGACAGAUUUUGGAUCAAAUGUAUGGUUGAACUCCACUACGAGGACAAGGUAGCCAGUUUCGCUGUUACAAUGGAUUCAGUGACUAUGACGUUUGAUCCGGCGGCGGAUCACGGCUAUGCGCUUCCUCAAAGGGGUGUGGCGAUCAACUUUGCUUGAGACACACUCCUAAAACAGAGCGUUGUGGACGAGAGCUUAAAACACACAUUUUCAGACGGGCCGUGUGGGCGAUCUACGGUGCUUUUUGGCAUGAAAGGUUACAGACACCUUACUGAGACAUCGAGGUUCAAUUCUUUAGCAUUGUGUAGCAUGAAAAAAGCGUGAGCAUGGACCUUUAAAUAUUCAGCUUUUCCUUUUUUUGUUUUCUUUUUUUAGUGUGUAUUGCAUGAGCUAGAGUGCGUGAUGUCACAGCUAGAAUGUGAUGGCUCGUUUUCACUCUAUCAACAUAAUUUUAUCACUAAAUCAUAGUCAUACUUUCCUUCCUUUUAAUGAUGUGUGUGGCUAAGUCAUCAGACCUAUACUUCAGUCGCCAUCGACCUCAAAGCGCAGAGAUCCAUUUGUCUUUGAGACUUUUUUAAGAAAACAGAAGUAUGACAUUUUCAAAUCAAGCCACAAUUUUUAUUCUUCAAACAUAAAAUCCACACCAGUUGCUCAUUAAAGCCUUGACAUUCAUUAAAAUUAAGGUAUUUUUGUGAUAGCUAUUAUGGUUUUGCUGCAACAAGCCUGUUUAGCAGGGGCGCAAUGAUGCUUUCUCAAAGCAGAAUGAAGCAGAUUUCAGAUUUUUGAUUUUCCCGCCUUUCGUCUGCAUGACUACGGAACAACUGCAGCUUUGAUUGACAGGUAAACCUCCUGAUGCUUAGUGUAGCACCUCUAUGCAUAUUAUUGGUUAGUUCAUAAUAUUUGACACACACUUCCUCUUAAUGUUUUUUUUGUGUGUUCUGUCCAGCAGUUUAACAAGCAGCAUAUAUUACACUGAAUGCCAUAUUGUGAUGAACAACCAGCUGCUGAAACCAAGCAAAUCUGGUAAAACAAGUAAACAAUCGGUGCAAAAUAAAUAAGCAGGGAUGUACCUUAGGCUAACACAUUCAUAACUAAACAACUGUUGUACUGGAGAUUAAUACUAAUGCCAAUAAUAGUGUUAAGGUAUGUGCACAUACUCAUACACACUCCAAUCGCACCACGCGCACCGCUGGCUAACGGUGUGUCCCCCGGACAGUGUUCCCCCCACCCUAAAUGUCUUUUUUGCAGUUAAAACUGGAUGGUGAUCUCUACACCAGGACCAGUAGGCGAGGCCACAACUGACCUCAGCCCCACGCCCCAGUGAAAGAGCCCACCCCUGGCCCUGAAUCUUUGACGCCUCCUGACAGUGACUCGCCUAGAUCAGAUGCUGCUGUGAUGACUUAUCCCAGAAAAUGAAAAUAUCUCUGGUAGGAUGAGGAUCCAUCGAAAACAAAGUCAAGCAGCCAAGAGUGGAGGAGCAGGUUAAGCGACCUGCUGAAGUGACAGCCGACCCUCUGUCCUCCCUGACUCUGCUGCUGCUACAACUGCUAUGCAUUUUCUGUGCACCAAUGGAAAAGAAUGGACAUCUUUAUUUGAGUGGAUGCAUCACUGCAUCGCCCUAAAGACAAGAGGAAGACAGAAAGGACAUCUGAAUAUAUCUAAUAAUCCUACCUCUGCACAAAGAGAAAGAAGGACAUGGUAGAUGAAGAGUAGUGUCUGCUGACACAUUCUCCCUCUCUGCCAGUUAGUGUAUGAUAAGUGUAGAUGAUGUGUACUGUAUAUGAGAAGUUUAACUCCAACAAGCCUGAAUACAGUCAAACCUGAAAAGCAGUUAUUUCUCUUGGUUGUGUUACUGCGUCUUUUUGUGGUACCAUUGCAUACAUACAGUAAACCACUGAAGCUUGAUGGAGUAAUGCGAAACGAGCACCAAUAUAUACCUGAAAUCUCACAUGGGUCAGAAUGACAGACUGACACAGACCCACUCCUGGACCAGACACUGACUCAGGAAAUAACACAGAAACCUUUGCUUUUAUUUAAACAUUUAAUAGAAAAAACUAUAUAUAUUUACUUAUUAUUUAUUGCUCCCACAUUUUAAUUUGUACUGUAUGAUCCACGUAAUUUUACUUUGGCAGCAGUCCAAAGAUUUUUGCUUCUAUGUGUUAAAGCAAGGCUCAAUCUGUUAUUGUUCCUGAUGAGUUAUUUAUUGAAGAAUGGCUGAAGAAUGGUGCUAGCAUAGCAGAGCUCAUUAGAAUGGGGAGACGGAGUAGAGUAGGUUCACUAACACUGUAACCUUAAAUCUAACUGACUCAUUUAACAGCCAAUAUGAACACAUUCCUGACACCUUUCACCAGCUUCCUUCUGUAUAUGUCCAGGCCCGUUUUAGGAAGCUACACAAAGGCCCCGUCAGCGCCCUCAUCAACUGAAGCCACAUGCAUUUCUGUGGCCUUGUCUGUCUUUGAACCUCAGCUACAGGUCAAGGACAUGGAUUGUCGAAGUGUUUUGCCAUGAUUUAAUGUGUUAUUCUUUUAUACAUUCUAUACCAUUACAUAAAGUAUCUUCAGGGUUUUAAGUAUUGACCUCAAAGCGUGAAUUUGUUUUCUGUCUCAUAAGGAUUUGCUGUGGUCCUAAACUAAACUGGUUGGGUUUAAUCUCCUUUUCCCAGAGAUGGAUCUGUAGUGACAGUCUGUCUGCUGUGCAGCAGGGCCACAGCAAAGCUGGCAUUUCUUCGUAACUGGUAAUAAUUAGUAAUUAUUUCUGCAACAUGACAAGGAAAACAGUGAAGACAUCUUUCAAAACACUGCUUUGAAAUAGAAUAAGAGGAAAAGAUUAAAAAAACAACACCUCCCCCAUCAAAAGCCAACAUGCUGAUGUAGAGCAGCUGUUGUUCACACUACGCUGUUCCACGCUCUGCUUCCGGUACUGUACAGUAUGUGACAAGACAAAACGUGUUUCACAUAGUUGUUUCACAGUUUCUCUGUGCUCUGUACAAAGUAUUGCUCAGCCAGCAAUACUUUGUAUUUUAAUGCUCAUGGCGAAUAUAGUAGGAAACCCACUGCAGUCCUGUGCUCUACAUGAAUAGAAACAACAACUUGGUUUCUGCUAAGGUCUCACAGAGUUCUUUGUAAAACCAGCCGGUCGAGUUCAAACAUUCCUGUUCUAUGUGCAAUAUUAUGCAACAAUAUAUAUUAUACAAAAGUGGUUUUACAUUUACUGACGACAGUGGAAUAAUUGUAAAAACAUCACAGGCUAGUGUUUAUCAUCUAAAAAACUACAGCUCUGCUCUGAUGACAAACAUAAUAUUAAAGAGUUAAUGUUGCUAACACAAGCUUCUUGCCUGGGUCUUGCCUGAUCCAUGAAUCUAGAUUCGAGCUGGAUCAGUUAACACUUCGAUGAAAACAUACAUAUACUUUUUAACCCAAAAUGUUUCAACAAAUGUAAAACAAUAUAUUCCUUCAGUUAUAUUAUUAUUCACCAACAUCAGAAAGGCUUAACAAGCAAAGUAUGUAAAUAAAAAGCAUCGGGAGGUCAGCUUGAAACAAAAUGCAUAAUUAUCAUUUAAGCAACAUCAUUCAUUUAACCAACUAUCUCCUAAAUGUGCAGGAUCAGCUUCUAAUAGCAGGAGGAUGUUUGACUUCUUUGGAGGAACCUCUUUGGUUUAAUGAAUAGGUGGUCAAAAAUGCUACUUAUCUACAGUGACAUAACUGUUGGAUAUAAGGUCGGGUUCUGUCUUUUAACCACUAAGAUUCAUGACAGCACAUUACUUUAAGGUCAACAGUUUCUCUUUGAAAGCAGAACAUUGCAGCAUUACAAAAACGUGCUGAGUCCUUAUAAUGAGGCUGAAUGCCUAAAUAUUAUGAAACACUUACGAUGUUUUUACAAGUUGCUUAAAUUUAUAAUUAUAUAAAUAGUCAAUUCCUGAUUUCCUGCUAUUAUAAAACUUAUAUCUAGAGAUGUAUGUAUAAGCUAAUAAAGUGUUUUUAUGUAAAAAACACUCCUUUCUUGUAUUUUCAUUGUCACACCAGCCACCAUGAGGCCCUACAGUAUACAGCUGCAGCGUGUAUAGUCAGAAGCAUAAUUAUGCAGCAGGGAGAGGCUGUGGGACGUGGAGCCCCCUAUGUUACACACUCGCCCCGUCGGUGUUUGACGUGUCGGUUUGACUGAGGACUGGGGACAAGAAAGGAGAUGCAGUGGCGUGGAGGAAUGACAGCACCCGCUCCGAGCAGGGAAGCUCGGAGUAACGCGCUGUCACUGAGCCGAGGACUUUGGCACCGCGGCCAACAUGCAUCCAGCACCACGCGGACACGCAGCGCUAAUAAAACACUCUGCAAGUAACCCUUCACACACACACCUGGCCACAACCGACUGACCAGGUCGCAGGGAAACCGGGAGAGAGAAGACCACAAAUGCGCGACCCACACAGGAAAUAACAGUUAACAUAAAGGGUUUAUGUAAAUACAACAUAAACUCACUGCUCGGCAGGAUUCAGUUCAGACACAAACAGCCAAGAACUAAAAAUCACUGCAAUGCAGGUAAACGCUAUUAAACAAUCUAAACUCACCAUAAACCUAACAACGCUCUGUAACACUACGGGCAGAACAACCUAAACAUGAAUACAAGACAAUCACUACCUUCACUGGUCAUAACAGGACAGGACAUCAAAAGAAACCGAAAUCUCCACUUGAUCAGAAACUCCUCUCUUUAACAUGUAACUUGGUGAAGCAACCAGCCACCACCGCGUACACACCAACCAUGUGUCCAAACAGAGACAUCACUUAAGUACUCAUAAAAGUAGGUGGGUAUCAUCAACUCAUUACACAGACAGGAAAUGAAACUCAGGUGAUUACCCACAACAAAACACAGGAGCGCCUCUAGCGGCGCGGUGGUGGUGGCAAGGAUGCUCUCCAUGGGUGUAACAACAAUGCAUCAGGUGGUCUGCCUGAUGCAUUGAAGUGAAGUGCAGAUAAAAAAACACGGAAAAGUAUUUAACUGGGAUAAAAAGAAAGGCAAAGGAGAUAGAUGGAGUUAAUGAGACAAUCCUAAGUCUCUCGAAAGUUAAAACAAGGAAAUAUGACGUAGCGUAUAUAGCGAUUGGCUUCACUGUCACUACGUUGGGUGAUGAGGAAAGACCAGUAUAUUUACUGUGUCUAAACUGCUAUUUGUGUUGUAUUUUUUGUGUUCAAUGUACCUGGAGAUUAUUGUGGGGAUAUGUGUUAUUGGGUGUUAUUGAUGUAUACAGUACCUGUUGAAAGGUGAAUAUUGAGGAUUACUUUCUAAUAGUUUCCAGAUCUUUCUAGAGGAUGGUUCCUACCAGUGGAAGGGGCAGAACCAGACCUAUAAGAAGUUGGGCCAAACUUCAGUGUUCCUUCUAAGUUCUAAUUUCUAAUUUCUUAUAAUUAUUGUGUUAUUAUUAUUAUUAUUGUGCCAUUUCUUCUGUAUAUAUGUCUAUGUGUCUUUGUGCUGUUGCAACAUUGUAAUUUCCCCAUUGUGGGACAAUAAAGGUAUUCUAUUCUAUUCUAUUAAA